AUCAUGUACUGCAGAUGUUCAGGUGCUUCCCACCAGUUCCAGGACAGUUUGUAUCAUCCCAUGGUAAAUGGUAGGACUGUGAUUCCAGCCCUGAGGCAGCCAGUUCCAGUUUUAGCAUGUCUGGCAAGCAGCACUCAGUGAUAUGACUUCAUCCAGGUCACGAUUGUAAGCUGUUAGCCUCCUAUCUUCUGGGGAUGAUAGACUGGACUUUGCAUUGGCCAUAUGGGACUAAUACAGGGAUUCAGAAGCAAAGAAAGAGCUGGGGCUGGUUUUAUGCUUUAGCUCUGCUGUGGACAUAUAUCCUCAUGCAUUUGGAACUCCAGGGUCACUGGAGACACUCUUGCCGUAUACAGAAGGGAAAAGAGAAUGUUCUUCCUUUAGACUAAUUAAAAAAGUACAUGGAGAAAAUACUUUGGCCACCAGAAUACACCUGGAGUACUGU